rnacentral:rRNA from 1 species
UACGUAGGGGGCAAGCGUUGUCCGGAUUUAUUGGGCGUAAAGAGCUCGUAGGCGGUUUGUCGCGUCGGCCGUGAAAUCUCCACGCUUAACGUGGAGCGUGCGGUCGAUACGGGCAGACUUGAGUUCGGUAGGGGAGACUGGAAUUCCUGGUGUAGCGGUGAAAUGCGCAGAUAUCAGGAGGAACACCGGUGGCGAAGGCGGGUCUCUGGGUCGAUACUGACGCUGAGGAGCGAAAGCGUGGGGAGCGAACAGG